rnacentral:rRNA from 1 species
ACAAGCCUGAGAAACGGCUAGUAGGACUAAGGUCUGCAGCAGGCGCGAAACUUACACAAUGCUAGAUUUAUGAUGAUUAGCGAUGUAGUGAAGAAAAAUAACGAUGCACUUCCUUUUAAACAAGGUUGUGCAAUUGGAAUGAGACGACUUUAAAUAGGUCCGUCGAGUAACAAAUGGAGGGCAAGUCUGGUGCCAGCAGCCGCGGUAAUUCCAGCUCCAUUAGCAUACAUUAAAGUUGUUGCGGUUAAAAAGCUCGUAGUUGAAUGUCUGGCGGGUUCUGGGCGGAAGUGUGCAUCAAGGGUUUCGUGUAAAAGCUUAGCCUGCUCGCUUGCUGCCAGGGAGCCCGUUGUUUCGUCACUUAAUCGAGUGCGAAGCGGGUCGGCUUUGAAGGGCUGUCGAAAGAUAGUUUCCAAAUAAACCGACUAGUUUACCUUGAAAAAAUUAAAGUGCUCAGCGCAGGCAGUUGGGGGUGUAAAAGCCCAUUUUAUGCUUGAAUAAGGUUGCAUGGAAUAAUAAAAUACGGCCUCGGUUCUAUUCGGUUGGUCUUAUAAAACAACAAACAAGUUGGUGCGAGCGUCAAAGGUUGUGCUGGCUGUGGUGCUAUCCAGGAUCGUGUUGUAGUUGGCCUAAAAAUCAAUUUACCUCAUCCAAAUAGUUACCAUCAAGCAGCCUUCUACUAACCUGCUCACACACCAACUGAGGCAAUGGUUAAAAGAAAUAGUCGCGGCGGCAUCAGUACUGCAUCGUGAGAG